CCCAAGCAGGCUCCACGUUCAGCGCGGAGCUCAGGGCAGGGCUCGAACCCACAAACUGUGAAAUCAUGACCUGAGCCAAAAUCAAGAGUCGAUCACUCAACUGACUGAGCCACCCAAGCACCUCUAAAACCUGAACUUUAAAAUAUGGAAUUACAACAAAGCACAGUAAAUCAAGUCCAACCAUUGUUUGGUCCUGUUUCAGUGGAUAGCUAGCUAAAUGUUAAGGAUUUUUGUGAAAAUUUAAACCUCAGGCAAUGAUUCCCAAACUUUUUCAUGCCACAUGCUAAUUUUACGUCCCACCAGCAGGUGAGCAGAGGCAGGGAAGGCUGACUGGCCCACACAGACCUCGUGUGGCCCUCUCCCAGAGCAGAAGGGAGCAGUGUGGGGGCAUCACUGUAACUCAUUUGGGGCGCACAGGCGGAAUGCUUGGACUUACUCAUUUACUUAGGAAAAGUUUUCCCUAAAGGUUGAAAGGGUCAGGUUUAUCCUGAUGCAAAAUGUAAACCAGUGACUCCAAAUGAAUGAUCUCCUUGCACACAGUGAUCUGGCAGCAGUGAAAGGAAAAAACCUUAUCUGUGAGGCUCAAGUGGUCAUAAUUCAUGACUUGGCUCCUUGCGAUGCUCAGUUCCUGUUGCUUGCACAGCUUGUUCCCUUCCUGAUCACCUGCCCUGUUUCUGGCAGAGAUGGGUGACCUCGGCAGGCAUGCGUGCAAGUGUGUGUGUAUGUGUCUGUACACAUGUGUGUGUAAAGGAGGGAAGAAAAGGUAGGUGACCCUUCUCAGCAGCUCUGAAAUUAUGCCACCCAGAUGGCUAGCUGCUUAGCCUUCUUGUCUGGUUGCUUUGACUCCUACUCACAUCCACCUUCCGUUCUAAAGACAGACGGAGUACUAACUCUGGAAGGUAAGUAUUUUAUGCAUGGAAACUUCUGUUUAAUUCAAACGUGAAUUAAACUGUGCUGGGGCUCAAGGACACAUCUCUGUUAUUUAAAGCAAAGCAAACAUGAAAAAUGUCAUUGCUUGGUAUUUUCUGGAAAUCAGUGAUGUGACAUGAGCCUUGGAUUGAGCUGUCUCUGAUGAAAAGGUCCAACUCGUUAGAAUCACUCUGCUCUCUGACCUUCCCACCCACCUCACACCUCCCACUGCCCCCGCCCACUUUCAACAUGAGCUGGUGUCCAGAAAUGAUACAGUCCCAGUAAAGCCGGCGGCGGGGGUGGGAGGGGGUAUGAAGCAGGUGGUUUUCAAGCCUUGGUGAUGGCCAACAAAAUGUUAGGGAGGGGGUCAGGAUAAGAAAACGGGGACUCAACCCACAGGAGCUGGGAACUAGAACCCCCUGCUCUGUUUAUAAAUGUCUUUUGGCUUCCUCUGAGUUGACCUGGAAAAAUGCUUGAUUAUUUCUAUAUAUUUGAGAGAUAAUAACUCACUCGUGUGGAGCACAGUUUUGUCUGUCUGGUUACACCGAUCAGAGCCACAGACACCCAUACACUGUCUAACCUAGAGACUGUGCUUUCAAAGGCCUGGGAGGCCAGGCAGGGAGAAUGAAGGGGUGAAGUGCGUGAUCUGGAGCAGUGGCGACUGUGGGAAAUGGCAGAAGCCAUUUUAUGCCCCAAGAGGCAGCCAGCCCACUGGUACAACGUAGGCAAGCAGGCCCAGUGUUACUGCCAAUUUAAAAGGCCAGUGAGCCAAAAUUCUAUUAAUUGUCAACUACUUCUAAGCAUUUAUUUGUGCAUUAUUUAAAUUUAUUGGGGCACCUGGGUGGCUCAGUCGGUUGAGCAUCUAACUCUUGAUUUCAGCUUAGGGUAUGAUCUCGAGGUCUGUGAGUUGGAGCCAUGCAUUGGGCGACAGUGGGGAGCCUACUCGGGAUUCUCUCUCUCCCUUUCUCUCUGACCCUCCCUCGCUCACACUCUCUCUCUCUCAAAAUAAGUAAAUAAACUUAAAAAUUUUUUUUUAUUUAUUUAAGCAUAAUUCUCUGACCUCUGACCCUCUUCAUCGUAGUCACCUGCAGAUUUAGAGCAUGUGAAGACAUCUAGAUGAUACAGAGUCUCUGGAAAUUUGGGCAAAAUAAUUGAAUAUUUUUAAUAUGAUGUUAUAAGCCAUACUGAGAGUAACAGAUCUAAACCUGUCAGAUAAUUAAUCAUUUGAGCUUUAAAAAACAACGGACACAUAGCUAUGUGACCAGUAAAAGGAAGUGGGUAAAGUUUCUUUUUCUAGAAGUCAUCUCUGCCAAGUGCUAUUCCACAUUUAAUUUCAGUGGAGACACUAUUUUCCUUGUCCUUCUCUUUUCUCUGCUACUUCCCCUAAAUGCACCCCCCCCACUUUUGUGCAUUUCUUUGAGAUCCCAGAAAACAGGCCGUGGCUGGGGCUUUGGCUCCCCUACACGCACAGAGCCGAUCUGAGUGAUGUCAUGAAAAAAGCACCUCUAGUUAACCGUGUUUCACAACACAGCGCCUCUGUGCUCACACCCUAGGGGAAAUUUUUAAAACGCACUGAAAUAGGAAACAAGUGAUGUAGCAAAUACUACCUGGUGAACGGAAAUAAGUUUGCCCUUUGCCUUUCCACACAGUGGUGAAUUUCCAGUGGAGAGCCAGAUGGUGGCUUCCCACAGAGAAAGUGCUAGCUGGCCACACUCUGCUCCCAGGGGCCCCUGAUGUGGGUAAGGAGCACAUGUGCUAAGCACCCCGCAGAGCCUGGCCUGAAUCCACUUGUCUGGGAAGGGAAGAACGCCAGGGUGUCCUGGGAAUCUGGUCAGCAUGCUCACACCUGCCAUUUCCUGGGAAGGAGCCAGGAAACACUUAACUCCAGUCCUACUUCCUCAGUAGGAUCCUCUCCCAUUUGUCUGUGGGUUUGGCAGAAAGGAAGGGAGGACGGUGAAGUAUCAGGGGUUCUCUGAGUUACUGGUUCUCUUUGCGAAAGGGAAACAGUGCUGGUACAUUGACUUGAGCAGUAGCAAGCCUGAGCCUUCGUAGGGGGUGGGGUUUGGCAGUGAGAAGCAGGUCCUCUGGGUCACAUGACCUGUGUCACCUGCAUUUGGAGUCACUCUGUGGGGAGUCACGGGGCACACAGCUCUUUCUCCUGGCAAUUUUUUUUUAAGUUUAUUUAUUUGUUUUGAGAGAGGCAGAGAGUGCUAGUGGAGGGACAGAGAGAGACGGAGAGAGAAUCCCGAGCAGGCUCUACACUGUCAGUGCACAGCCUGACGCAGGGCUCGAACUCAUGAACCAUGAGAUCAUGACCUGAGCACGAACCAAGGGCCGGACCCUUAACCGACUGAGCCACCCAGGCACCUGCUGGCAAAUGUUUUAAUGUAGGUUCCUGCUGAAGUCCAUGGGCAAGCCUCACUGCCCAACACUGAGGUUUCACUGUGGCUCAUCUCUGCACAUUCUUUCCUGUUUGGGUCCUAUUGACCCCAACCUUGUCAUGAGUUACCAUUUCCUUCCAUGGGGCUGACGUUCUUGAGUGCCUGCCGUGUGUCAGGUUCAUCUCUUUACACUCAUUCUCUUUAAUUCUCAUUACCCUCCUGUACAGUUAAGCCCAUUUUACAGACAAUAAAACGGAGGCUGAGGGAUGUUACGUAACCUGCAGGUCACAUACCUACCAAGUGGCAGAGUUGAGGGCUGAGGUCAGGACUUUUCCUUCUCCAAAUGUCUGAAUUCUCAUUUACCCCCUUCCUUGUUACCUUAGUUGCUAUCGCUGAGUUCCAAGCUCUUGUGGCAUGUUGCCUACAUUAUGUCAGUAGUUUCUGACAGUUUCCUUUCCAAAGAUCUUAACACCCUCAAUUUUCUGUCACCCUCCAUCCUCUGCAUCACUGUCCGGGGGGAGGGUGUUUAAAAAUGCGUAAGUUUAAACCCUCUCAGGCUGAAAAUCCUGUAGGGCUCUCACGGCCUUCUGAGCUUCUCAGGGCUCUCUGUGUGGACCACCCUGGCCCUCUCCUGCUGUUUGCUGGACACGCCCUCCGCGUUCACCCAGGGACUGCUUGCAGUCUGGAUUGGCUGUCUCCCUGCAAACCCCUGUCAUCUAGUCACCUACUUGCCAGUGUGUAUUCGCUGCUGCAGUGCAGAUUUGUUUCUACUCCCCCCAGCAGUGUGCGUGGAGAAAAUACACAAGGAACAGUAUAUGAAUGAAGCACUCGAACUUGGGUUGAACCGCAUUUGAACUUGUAUGUGUGUUGCUUAAUUUGCUUUCGACUGAGGUCCUCUGGAUUUAUCUUGUCCUUUACUGGCUCAUCCCCCAUAAUCAGUUGGAAGCCAGGGGGCAGAGUCGUGGAGUGAUGGGGAAAAGCAGUGGCUGGUGGAGCCACAGGGAGCCGGAACCACCCUCGGCCCGACCCUGGGGCAGACACAGUGGCAUCAAGAGGGAAGAGUGCCAGCCAGAGCUCUGGGAGUCCCUGAUCCAACCCGGAAUUAUCCUCAGGGCGCUUUUCCUUCCUUGUCCAUUCUGAACUCGUCUAACGAAUGAAUGAAUGAAUGAAUGAAUGAAUAAAUGGUAUUUAUGAUACCUUGUAACAAAUGACAGACACCAUUCUCCCCCCCCCCCCUUGGGUCUCUCUCUCUCUCUCUCUCUUUUAAUUUAAAAUAUUGUUUUGGUGUUAUAGUAGAAAGCUGGUUGCUUUUCCUGGGAUGUUAUCAUUAGUUCUCCAAUGAUUUCUCUAAUAGUAACGCAUGGCUUUUCGGAAGGCUUAGAGUUCAGAGUACUUUUCACCCACAUUACCUCCCUCGAUUUGACUUCUUGUCUACCCUGGGGAUCCGGCAGCCCUAUUUACAGAUGGGAGACUGAGGCUCGGGGGUGGGGAACAGGAGGAAGGGGUGAACUGCCAGGGUAGAGGCUCCAGACCUUAAGUGUUCCAUGUGAACUCGCGCCUUCUCUGUUGUGUUUGUUUACUGUGUUGAUCUCUUCAUAGAUCAUCAUCUAAGAGCCUCCCACUUGCAUGACAGCCGUGGAUGGAAUGUUCUGUUCAGACACUGUUAGCUGAAGGGUUGACUGUGGGCCCAGGGGAAACACGGGCCAGCACAGCCCGAGCCGCCCACACGUGUGUGAGCUGCAGGAAGAGGAAGCAGGACCGCCCCCAGCUGAGCUCCCCGGUCCUGGGUGAGCAGGCUGUGCUGGGCUGGCCUCUCUCAGCGGUGGGUGGCUCCGGGGUGCUGGGUCAGAGAAGGGGGGUGGUCCUGAAGGGGCAGAGAGGCGGGGAGACGGAGCCCAGCUGUACCUGUGCCUGUAGGUCCCGGCGGCUGCAGCUGGCUUGGAUGCACGUUAGUUUCCAGGAGGGUUUCUUCAACAGGGGCUCCAGGAUGAAUUUAUGGGGGUCUGUUUUGUUUCAGUUUAAAUCACAUUCUCGAAGGGUUCCAUGUCCCCCCACCCCCAAAUGUUGAAGAUUCACUAUUCUAUAGGAGGUCCACAAAUAUACAAAUACUGUCCUACCUCCAAAGUGGGGGUGUUUCUCUGUUAUCCCCAAUUUGUGGUGAUAAGAGGUGUUUGUGCUCAUGACGUCAGACAGGUGUCCUGCUGCCCCCUGCCCAGGCUGCGGUGUUGGGCACGCUGCCCACCGGGAAGCGCUGUUCUCUGCCUGCAGGGUCCCCACCAGGCCUGGCCAACUCCCAUUUACUUGUCUGUCGGAACCGGGUGCAGGUUUCAUUCACCUCCACACUCCAGCCUCGUUCGACUUCCUGGGGCACCUUUGGGCACCUAGCUCCAAGCCUGUCAGCACCUUGCUCUGGCUCUUACACCUGUCUCGCUGUCCUGGGCUCACUUGUCCACCAAGUGAGCGUUGGGAACACUUGGAGACCGGGGCCAUCGUUGUAUCCGUCUUUGCAUCUCAGGGCCUGGCUCUGUGCCAGGUACCCAGAGGGUGCUCAAUAAAUCUGUUUGACUGACGGCUGGAAGCCAGGCUACUAAGAGCAGACGUGAAGCUAAUUGUGAGCUAAAUCGGGUCAGGCUCUCAAAAUGUGGUUAGCCUGAGUCACACAGGACUCUUUUUAAAUGUCAUAUGAAAAUUGCCACUUGUAGUUUGAUGGUGUGGUCACCAUGACAAACAGAGCAGAAAACGCAGCCGCUUAUUGAGCACCUAUUGUAUGCAAAGCACUCUACUGAAUCCCCUCCUAAGAGAAUGUGUAAAUUCUGUUCAGUUUGGUCAAGCGCAAACAAAAUUUAAGGCCUUGAGCCUUGGUCCCAUGACCAGACCAAACAGCAUGAUGUGUUUUAAGAUACACUGCAUAUCUUAAAAUGAAACAUCUGGUGACAACGAAUGAUUGGCAAGGAACCAGGUUCUUCUAUGUGCCUUUGGAAGGAAAACAAUAUGGUCAUAUGAGUCACGUCAUUUGUUGAUUAAAGAUAGUAGCACUUGAAAACGCUCGGUACAUCUGGGUGCUCACAUGGAGGCAAAGGUAUGAAAUUCAUCUAUGUUACUGGAAGUCAGACACACUUCAAUUUCAUUUACCUUCUUGAAUAUCGCUAAUCACACAGCUGUCUUCCUCAAGACCCACCAUCAUUUGACUCUUCUAUAAACUGGAUUCCCAUUCAUAAUUUUUCUCAUCCUUCCCUAUUGUGGCGAUAGCUUGUGAUAGAUUAUAUAUAUAUGUAUAUAUAUAUACACGUAUAUAUACGUAUAUAUAUAUGUGUGUGUGUGUAUGUACAUAUAUAUAUGUAUAUAUAUGUAUAUAUAUAUAUACUUUGAAACCUUAAUUUCAAGUUUUAACCACUGAAGUCGAUUAUAAAAAUCACAGUAUUUGGAUUCAUAUAUUCGAUUCCCAGCCAGUAAAUUUGCACCAUCUCCAACCACACCUCUCGAAGGGCUCCUGGUGACACCCCAUUCUCCCUGUGACAUGUGGGCAUCUUUUCUCUAGUGGCCUUCACAGGUAACAGAUACUGUGUGGGGAUGCUGUGGUCUGCACCAGGCGUGUUUGCCUUCUGUAGGCCAACUGUAUUACUUGGGAUUUUGAUCAAGUUUCCUUUAUGUUUGGGGAGCUGCCCAUUGAAGAAAAUAAGCUCUCAUCACUUUCCCAGAGAAGUUUUCCAUCACCUUUUAACUCCCGACUGCUUGUGCACAGACAUCUGUGACUGAGGGUCACUGACCACAAUUAAGGUCCCAGCUCAGUGAUGCUCAAGUAAGCCCCUGAAUAUAGUAUGAUGCUCUCUGCUCUGCUCCUGGCCAUUGUUGAUCCUCCCUGCCUCCCUCUCCUCUUCUCCUCCAGUCCUGAUCACAGCAUACACAGCCUGCUGAGUGCUAGCACUGCUUCUGGGGGAUGGGGUCUCAGGGGAGUCCGGGCCGUGUCUGCAACGGUCCCCAAGCCUUUCCUGCUCUGCCAUUUCUCCCCCAUGCUUUAACAAAAGUCACAACAUCAAACCUGGGAUUCAAAGGCACCCAUCAGUAUAACAGCUGUGUUAUGCUCAUUCUCAAAUGAUAAGAGACAGUGAGGGAAACUCCUAGUUGCCAUCGACUGCUGUGGCUUCCUUUGAAAUGUCUACAGCAGAUGUGUAAAAGCAGAACCCACUUGUCUCUAACCACUGGGCUUUUACAUUCAGGAAGCAGGAGAGGGAACAGUCAGCAGGGACCCUAUGGGCUCUGCAAGCAGCAGCCAGGCCUCCCGCACAAUUUGGGGACACUCCCGCAAGUGUGCCUGGGAGGACCUGCGUUCUGUGUGUCUGAGGAAGCAUGGAAUGUGGCUUUGUGCAUGAGCAUGGGGUCUGGGGGCAGGAGAGAGACCACAGUGUGAUCACAGGUGGCUUUGUCCAUGGCUGGAGAGGCCCCCGUUUGGUCAUUCUCCCAAGAGGCUUGGCCAUGCUCUUUUAGGUUCCUCUAAUCCCGCUUCAUGUCACAAGUUUUAGGUAAGACCCAAGACUGGCGUUGCCCAGUCUGAGCUGAGAUCCCCGUUCUUAUGAUCGGUAUGGCAAGUUACUCAGCCUCCCGGAGUCUCACUGGGACAAUAGCUGUACCCACUCCCUCAGGCAGGUGUGGAGGUAAUGAUGCAAUGUGGUGAUGGUGAGCAGCAUCUGGCCUUUGGGAAAUGCCAGUAACUGGUAGCUCUUCCGAGCUUUUGUUCUGCCCACGUUCCUCCUGGCGUGAGUGAGAGCCUUGGGGAGAGGGAUACGGAUGCUCCCCCAUUUGGGGGCCAAGUCCAUAAAGAAAAGAUUACAUUUAAACAACACUUUAGAUUGACUACUUUUCAUCUGUGAACUUUUUUGUUUUGUUUUGUUUUGUUUUUCCUGCUCUUCGGUUCUGUUUGGGGGGUACCCACAUGAUGUCAAGGGAGCAACCUGAUUCUUUGUCCCAGUGAUGCAGCGUGGCAGGGACCACGCUGACGCCUGCUGCCUGUAGUUUAUCCUUGUCUCACAAUCAUGUCUCAUGCCCUAGAGAGAGAGAGACCUCGGAGCAGAGGUGAAAUGAGGGGACAGGCAGGCAGUGCCUCUGCUUAGAGAGGUCACUGGCCGAAGAGCUGGGGGUGGGGGUGUAGAGGGGCCAGAGCUGGAGAGUUCUCCCUCCCAGUCCUCACUUGGCCUGCCCCCAUAAUCAGGACCCUUAGUGUCUGGGUGUUCUUCCACGUGGUGGAGAACUGCAGGUGGCUACGUGCAGAGCAGAGAGACUGAGCAUCUUCUUGGCAUCCAGGGAUCAGUCUUCCCGAGUGAGGCUGCUCCUACAUUUGUGGUCAAGUUCUGAAAAGGGCCCAGAUCUUCUGGGUGUGGCAUUAGAGCUCACUGCAAGUAGAAAUCCUUAAAUAUCAGACUUUCUGCAAUGCAAAAAUCCAUUGGGAGGUCAAACAGAAAGUCCAUUGUCCACAGUCAUGUUGACCCUACAGGAUAAAGGACAAGGGCGGAGGGGUAUGUUUCUAGCCUCAGGGAAAUUUACAGGGGAAGGAGGAGUCAGGACAUGUGUGACCAAAAGGAGGUGGAUGGCCAAAUUGGGCUGUUGACACAAAAUGAACACACCUUUUAGAAUCUUUAGAAGCGAGAAAGCAAAGUUUUAUUGUAACCCAAGUUUGGACAACUGCCCCAGAAACAUGCACUUCAUGGGGAAGAAAGUGCUCUGGAGAAGGUACGGUUCUUACAGAGUUAUCUACUUUUUACAUCUUGUAAAAGCUCAAGAGAUGUCAGAUUAGCAUAUAGGCAGGAACUGCGGGGUUUUAUUGUAAAGGGAUGCAAGGAAUUGGAAUGUGACCUAUAGGUCAAGGACAAGAUGGUUUUCUUUUAGGCUACUCGUUCACAAAGCAAACGUACAAUGCGUGCGUGUGUGCAUGGCAGUCAGAAAUCAGGCUUUUGGUUUGAACAAAGUUUAUACACAGUCAUGUUGACUUAGAAGGAAAUCCAGGGACGCUCGGAUGGCUCAGUCAAUUGAGCAUCCGACUCUCGGUUUCGGUUCGGGUCAUGAUCUCAUGGUUCGUGGGUUCGAGCCAUGCGUGGGGGGGCGGGGGGCUCUAUGCUGACAGUGCAGAGGCUGCUUGGGAUUCUCUCUCUGCCCUCCCCCUUCUCUCUCUCAAAAUAAAUAAACAUGAGUCCAGUAUGUGAGAGCCUGUGUGAUUGAACUGGAAAAAAAGGACAAAGGAAGUGCCCUCUAACCAGCCCUGUUUUCAGGAAUGAAGAAGGAGUCUCUUUUUCCUAAUCCUGUCUGUGUCCCUGUGACACCUGAACAUCGCCUUGCUUAACAGUCUUUGUUUUCCAAGUUUCUGGAUAAAAGACAGAUAGCCUAAUAAGGUGCUCUAAUUUAUUUAUACCUCCCGGCUAAUGACUUGAUUCAUUCUCUUUUCGAAAUCAGAGGUUUACAUUAGGGGAAAGGGAAUGAGUUUUCUGAUGCCAAAAAAGUGCUCUGCGGGCCAGGAAGGCCUGGCUUCCUCCCAGUCUGGGGCUCAGGUGAGCAGUUUUGGAAGAUUCACCAGGUCUCAUUCAUCCUUUCUUUUCUUGCCACCCUUUUCAAAAGCACCCGCCAGGAGCCCAGGGAAGCGUGGCUGGGCAGGGAGGCUGGAGGCAUGAGAAAGGCAGCUGACGCUGGCCGGCAGGGUCUAGAGGCCGGGUGGACACAGCAGACUCCCACGCCACAGCUGUGCCAGCCGUCGCCCUCUGACUCAUCAGCCAGAUAUAGAUCACGUCCUUUUCUUUACUCACACAGUUUCUGAAGCAUGGGCUGAGCUUCCGGGCUUUGGACAGUUGAAUCACGCUGGUUUGGUCUCGAGCAGACUGUGUUUGCAGAGGAGCAGCUUCUACAUUUGUUCAACAUGUACGAGAAGGGGAUCAUUUAUUCAGUCUGGACAAUGAGUCUGGAAUUCUCUUUCAUCAUCUGUGAUUUGCUGGAAGCCAAGUUCCACAGAUCUGUUUGCUGCUCUAUCCAGUCUUUUCCAAUUAUCAAAUAAGUCACCUCCUCCGUGGUAUCUUGUCCUCCCAAGGGAAGCACGGGUUACUGGGAAAAGGGACUUGUCGUGGUUGCCAUCUGUUAGAGGCUGAAUUGUGCCCCCACCACCCCAUUUGCACACUGAAGCCCUAACCCCCAGGACCGCAGAAUGUGAAUGUAUAUGGAGUUAGAGUCUUUCAAGAGGUGAUUAAGUUAACAUGAGGUCACAUGGGUGGGCCCUAAAUCCAAUCUGACUGUGCCCUUGUAAGAAGAGGUCAAGACACAGACAUGCACAGAGAGAAGACCGUAUGCAGACACGGGGGAAGGUGGCCGUCUACAAGCCAGGGAGGGAGGCCUCCGAAGAAACUAAGCCUGUCCACACCUUGAUCUUGGACUUGCCAGCCCCUGGAAUCAUAAGAAAAUAAGUGUCUGUCAUUUCAACCACCCCAGCCUGGGGUCCUUUGUCAUGGCAGCCUGAGAAGACUCACCCAUACCCCAUCUGAUCUGCUCCCUCCGGCCGUCUUUGUCUGGGAGAGCCAGGGCUGUAGGCUUCUAGGGUUUUCCUACGUGCUCGCUCAUCCCCACAUCCGAUUUAUGAGCCUUGUCUUCUUUGGUGCUUAUAACAGCUACUCCUUGGAAUUCUUUGCUGUUUGGAUAAGCACAUCCUGCCCAUUCCCCUACAUGCUAAAUAAAAAUGCGGUGGUUGACAAGCAGUCCCUGGCACCUGCUUCCUCUCAACCCCUGCUCGGACCUUC